GGGAAGGGAGGUGUGCAAGCUGCUUUGCGGGGCCACCCAGUGUGGGCUCAGGAAGAGAAGGAAUGCGACUGAGGCUGGGUGUGGCUGGGGAGAGCACAGCCAGUUGUGGGUUUGUCUUGGGGCCUAGAGAGACGUGAACGGAGAUGGAGGCCUCUCUCUCUCCCAGCCCCCAGCACACACACUAGGACCUUUCUUCC
ensembl:misc_RNA